rnacentral:rRNA from 1 species
UACGGGGGGAGCAAGCGUUGUUCGGAUUUACUGGGCGUAAAGGGCGCGUAGGCGGCCACCGCAAGUCAAUUGUGAAAUCUCCGGGCUUAACUCGGAAAGGUCAACUGAUACUGCGGGGCUAGAGUGCGGAAGGGGCAACUGGAAUUCUCGGUGUAGCGGUGAAAUGCGUAGAUAUCGAGAGGAACACCUGCGGCGAAGGCGGGUUGCUGGGCCGACACGUGACGCUGAUGCGCGAAAGCCAGGGGAGCGAACGGG